UGGAGGCAUGGGCUCCACGUGGCCUCCAAAACUUUUCCCCUGAGUUCCCACCGCCUCAUUCAUUCCAUUUCUUUUGUUCUUUCUUUUUCUUCCUGUGUCUGGUUUAACUGAGAAAAAUCGAGAGAGAGAGAGAGAGAGAGAGAGAGAGAGAGAGAGAGAGAGAGAGCUAGAGAACGAUAUAGAGGCAGAGAACGAGACAGAGAGCAAGACGGAGAGCAAUUGUGCAGUGGAGAACUUGGCUGGAAAUUCACGGAGGGGACUAAGGACUCGGCUUGGAGAACAUUGGUUUUGAGUUGGAUUGAGGAUGAACGGUUCUUUGAAGGAUUAGGCUAUAUUCAUGAUUGAUAGGAGCUGAGGACAUCUAUUGUGCAUCCUGAAAAUCAAGUUGGUGAAUCAUUUUUUGUGUUAGGGCUAUAUUCAUGAUUGAUAGGAGCUGAGGACAUUUACUGUGCACCCUGAAGGUCAAGUUGGUGAAUCAUUUUUUGUGUUAGGUGAGUACCAUAUUCCCUUGUGAAAUGAUGUAUUAUAAUUAUACAAAUUAUUUAAGAAGAAUACUGUAAUAGUUAGAGAUUUAGAAAUCGUUAUGCUAUAACAUGUGAAAGGAUUUAUGAGAUAUUGCCCUCUUAUGUUUCAUUUUGACUUGAGAUAUGUGAUGUGAUUGUGUAUGUGGAUUGUGUAUGAGAGAUGUGAUGAUAAUAUGAUACAAUUGUAAUAGGAUUGAGAUUGUGCUUGUGUAUAUUGAUAUUGUUUAAUUGUUAUAGCCUUGGGACUGUUAAACCCGGCGAAAUAGGAAUGGGGUGUGGUUGACCGCUGAUCCGAUAGUAUAUAAAAUGAACGCCUAGACUGUUGAACCGGCGGGAUAUAAAAUUGACUUCUAGACUGCUGAUCCGGUGGGAUAUAAAAUGGACGCCUAGACCGCUGAUCCUGCGGGAUAUAAAAUGGACGGUCUAAAAUGGAAGCCUAGAUCGCUGAUUCGGUGGGAUAUAAAAUGAAAGUUAGGUUGGAGCUUUGAUAAUUGGGGCUGGGGGGGCACAAUUAUGAGAAGUGGUAAGGUGAGUAAAGGACAUUUAAGCUGAAGUGCGGGGUCACUGUAUCAAUUAUAACACGAUUGCGAAGAAAUGCGCCCCUAUGACUAUAUUGAUUGGUUGUGCUGUAUAUUGUUGUCUAGCCUGAUUGCUAUAAAUGUGAUGAUUGUUGAGGUUGUCUGAAGUUGUUCUAUGAAAACUGUGCUGUUUACUAGAGCUUGAUUUAGUCAGUGCAUGAAUGUUAGGUGGUAUUGAGUUAAUGAUUAAUUCGACUAUUAUUAUAUGGUGAUAAAGGUGACUGAUUGUUUAAGAAUCAAUUUAGUAAUUAUUUGUGUAUAAUGUAUGUCGUGCUGUGUUGGUGAAUUAAAUGGCAGUCUUGGGUAUGCUAAUAUUAUCUUUGUACAUUUAAAAAUAUAUUUUUAGUUAAUAAUAGUUCAUUUCACUUUGAAAUUUUGUGUUCAUUGAGAUGCAGCUCACACUCUGCAUAUAUUUUUUCAAGAUAACCUUCUAGCUACACAGGAGAACUUUUUGGAUAUCGGGGAUAAGCUCUAAGGACUAUGUAGGAAUCUUAAUUAUUUGAUAGGUACUCUUUUUGUAUAGAAUGUAUUUGAAUAUGUUACGACCCGAAAUUUUUGUUUAGUUGGUUUAGUGAUGUGGCUCUCUUAAGAUGUAUAUAUAUGUGUGUGUGUGUGUGUAUGAGAGAGAGUUUGCUGGAUUGUUUAUAUGUUGUUGCGAGUUAUGGAAAACAGAUGUUUAUAUGAA